rnacentral:rRNA from 1 species
CGUUUAGUUGCUGGGUGUAGACCCGAAACCGGGUGAUCUAUCCAUGAGCAGGUUGAAGGUUGGUAACACUAACUGGAGGACCGAACCCACUGUCGUUAAAAAGCCAGGGGAUGACUUGUGGAUAGGGGUGAAAGGCUAAUCAAACUCGGUGAUAGCUGGUUCUCCCCGAAAGCUAUUUAGGUAGCGCCUCGGACGAAUACCAUUGGGGGUAGAGCACUGUUUCGGCUAGGGGGUCAUCCCGACUUACCAAACCGAUGCAAACUCCGAAUACCAAUGAGUACUAUCCGGGAGACAGACUGCGGGUGCUAACGUCCGUAGUCAAGAGGAAAACAAUCCAGACCGCCAGCUAAGGCCCCAAAAUUAUAGUUAAGUGGGAAACGAUGUGGGAAGGCAUAGACAGCUAGGAGGUUGGCUUAGAAGCAGCCACCCUUUAAAGAAAGCGUAAUAGCUCACUAGUCGAGUCGGCCUGCGCGGAAGAUGUAACGGGGCUAAAACUAUAUGCCGAAGCUGCGGAUUUACACAUUAGUGUAAGUGGUAGGGGAGCGUUCUGUAAGCCGAUGAAGGUGGAUUGAGAAGUCUGCUGGAGGUAUCAGAAGUGCGAAUGCUGACGUGAGUAACGACAAAACGGGUGAAAAAC